rnacentral:lncRNA from 10 species
UCUCUCUCUCUCUCUUUCUCUCUUUCUUUUUGAGAUGGAGUUUCACUCUCGCUGCCCAGGCUGGAGUACAAUGGUGCGAUCUCGGCUUAUUAUUAUUCUCCAUGUUGGUCAGGCUGGUCUUGAACUCCCAACCUCGGGUGAUCCGCCUGCGUUGGCCUCCCAAAGUGCUGGUGUGAGCCACUGCACCCGGCUUAGGAUGCAUUUUUCAAUAUUUUAGUGUUUGAAUAACGGGCUAACUUGAGAAAAAAAUAAUUUGAAUCACACAUCACACCAAAAAUAAAUUCUAGGUGGAUUUUAACACUUUCAAAAAUUAUUAUUAGUUUAGAGACAGGGUCUCACUCCGUCGCCUAGGCUGGAGUGCAGUGGUAUGAUCAUGGUUCACUGCAACCUUAAACUCCUGGCCUCAUAUGAUCCUCCGGCCUCAGCCUCUCAAAGUACUGGAACUACAAACAUGCACCACCACGCCCAGCCUAGGUGGGUUUUUAAAAUCCAUUCAAGGGCGGGUGCAGUGGCUCACACCUGUAAUCCCAGCAUUUUGGGAAGCCAAGGUGGGAGGAUCACUUGAGCCCAGGAGUUCGAGACCAGCCUGGGCAACAUAGUGAGACCACAUCUCUACAAAAAAUUUAAAAAUGAGCCAGGCAUGGUGGUGCACACCUGUCGUCUCUGCUAUUCAGGAGGCUGAGGCGGGAUCAUUGUUUGAGCCCAGGAGACAGAUUGCAGUGAGCUAUGAUGGCACCACUGCAUGGCAGCCUGGGUGACAAAGGGAGACUCAGUCUCAAAAAAAAAAAAAAAAAGGUGACAGGCUGGGUGCAGUGGCUCACACCUGUAAUCCCAGCACUUUGGGAGGCCGAGGCAGGUGGAUCACCUGAAGUCAGGAGUUUGAGACCAGCCUGGCCAACAUGGUGAAACCCUGUCUUUACUAAAAAUACUAAAGUUGGCCAGGCGUGGUGGCGUGUGCCCGUAAUCUCAGCUACCUGGGAGGUUGAGACAGGAGAAUCACUGGAACCCCAGAGGCAGAAGCUGCAGUGAGCUGAGAUUGUGCCACUGCACUCCAGCCUGGGUGACAGACCGAGACUCCAACUCAAAUUAAUUAAUUAAAUUUUAAAAAAAAAGGCAAAGAGGGAGUCCUGCCUGGGUACAGGAGACCUGGGGUUGGGUCCCAGCCCUGCCGCUGACCUGCCCUGGGACUGCAGGAAGUUUCUUUCCCUGCUGGGCCCCAGGUUUCUUCUCAUCCAUAUAAUGAGAUUAGUCAUAACACCUGCCCUGCCCAUCUCUGGGGACCCAAGGAGAGGAUGAGUCGAUGAGCAAGAACGUGUUUUCAAAAAGGGGAAACAAGCCCUUCCCACAUUCUGAUGUCUGCUUUCAACUGCCUUUUGAAAGGGAGUGAGAGAGGGAAAAAUUGUAUUAUACAGGCCGGACAUGGUGGCUCACACCUGGAAUCCCAGAACUUCAGGAGGCUGAGGUGGGAGGAUCACUUGAGCCCAGGAAUUUGAGACCAGCCUGGGCAACACAGUAAGACUCUCUUUCUACAAAAAGUUAAAAAAUUAGCUGGGCAGCCGGACACAGUGGCUCACGCCUGUAAUUUCAGCACUUUGGGAGGCCGAGGCAGGCAGAUCACAUGAGGUCAGGGGUUCAAGACCAGCCUGGCCAACAUGGCGAACCCCGUCUCUACCAAAAAUACAAAAAUUAACCAGGAGUGGUUGUGCACGCCAGUAAUCCCAGCUACGCAGCAGGCUGAGGCAGGAGAAUCACUUGAACCCAGGAGGUGGAGGUUGCAGUGAGCCGAGAUCGUGCCAUUGCACUCCAGCCUGAACGACAGUGAGACUCUGUCUCAAAACAAACAAACAAACAAACAAAAAAUUAGCUGGGCAUGGUGCCUUAUACCUGCAGUCUCAGCUACUAGGGAGGCUGAAGUGGGAGGAUCACUUGAUCCUGGGAGGUCAAGGCUGCAGUGAGCUAUGAUCACACCACUGCACUCCAGCCUGGGCAACAGAGUGAGACCCGUCUCAAAAAAUAAUAAUAAUAUAAUAAAUAAAAGAGACCCCAGAGAGCUUCCUUGACCCUUCCACCAUAUGAGGACACAGCUAGAAGGCACUCUCUACGAACCAAAAACAGACACCAACUCUUCCUAGUUUUUGUUUUUGUUCUUGUUCUUUUUUUUUUAAGAUGGAGUCUCACUUUGUCACCCAGGCUGGAGUGCAGUGGUGUGAUCUCGGCUCACUACGGCCUCCCCAUCCUGGGUCCAAGCGAUUCUUGUGCCUCAACCUCCCGAGUAGCUGGAAUUACAGGCGCGUGCCACCACGACUGGCUAAUUUUGUAUCUUUAGUAGAGACGGGGUUUUUCCACAUUGGUCAGGCUGGUCUCAAACUUCUGACCUCAGAUGAUCCGCCCACCUUGGCCACCCAAAGUGCUGGGAUUACAGGUGUGAACCACUGCGCCCGGCCAGAAGUUUUUCUUGUGAGUUGAGGUGAACAUCUGAAUCCCCUCGGGGAACUGAGGAGGAACUACCCUGCCCUGACAGAGGCUGGGGAUGAAGGAGGAAGAGACAGCCGGUCCCCUGGAUAAAGAGGUGAGGGGGUGUGAAGUCUGGGAGCCCCCCUCCCAGGGCCAGGCUACAGGGGGACAGCAGGGCUAUACCAGGAGUGCCACAGAGAUGCAUUUGGGUGUGAUCUAAUCCCCAGUCCUGCCCUGACCUCCUGGGUGCUCUUAGCCAAGCCCUCUUCCCUGUGUGUGCUAGAAAGUGAGGGUCACUCCCUUCCACACAAGGGAGUGAAUUGAGGGUGGGGAUCUGAGCUCUCUGAGCAGCAAAGCUGGACACAGGCCAAAUUGCCAAUCCUGAGUCCCUCUGUCAUGUGGACCUGGGAAGCUUGUCCUCAUCCUCCAUCCUUCCCCAGGGUGGGGCCUGAGAAUCUGAGAACCUUGAGCCUGGGAGGUCAAGGCCACAGUGAGCUAUGAUCGCACCACUGCACUCCAGCCUGGGCGAAAGAGUGAGACCCUGCC